GUGCUAUAUUGUUUUAAUUUUUGGAUGUGUGUUCUGUCUGUGUGUGUGUGUGUGUGUGUGUGUGUGUGUGUCUGCUGGUGUGUGUGUGUGUGUGUCUGCUGGUGUGUGUGUGUGCUGGUGUGUGUGUGUGUGUGUGUGUGUGUGUGUGUGUCUGCUGGUGUGUGUGUGUGUGUGUGUCUGCUGGUGUGUUUGCUUGUGUGUGUGUGUGUGUGUGUGUGUGUGUGUGUGUGUGUGUGUAUGGAGGUCAGAAGUACCUUUCCAAAGUUUUGAGACAGGAUCUCUCUUUGAACCUGGGUGGCCAAUGAGCCCUCAGAACCUUCCUACUCCGUCCUGCAACCUCAGCGCUCAGUUACAUACAUUGCCAUACUUGGCUUUGACAUGGCAGACCUCCAAACUGAGAUAAUGACUAAGUACCAAGGUAGCAUCCUUUGGCUUCCAUCCUGUGUCCUGGCCUGUCCUCUGAUGAAUUGUUUUGGUGAUAUUUUGCCCACUGCUUCCUCUGAAGUCUUUCAGGUGUCUGCUUAUUUUACCUGUGAAUCUAUCCCUUGUUAUGUGCAAUAUACUUACAGCCAUAUGAAUAAGCUAAGGUUAAAUUAUGAAGAGACAUUAAACAAGAAAUCCUGCUAGGUCAGAAGCUAAAGACCUUUGUCCUUUGCCCUGAAGGUCUUUAUAGCAUAAAACAACUCUUCACAGAUGCCCCCGUGCCCAAACUCAUGAAUAUUACUUCAGAGGAUUAAAGGAAUCCUACAGAGUAAGGAUCUUGAGGAAGGAUUAUCCCGGAUCAUUUAGACAAGUCCAAAGUAAUCUCAAGGUCUUUAUACAAUGGAGACAGAAAGUCAUUCAUAAAAGAGCAGCUGGUGUGAUGCUGAUGAUUUUGAAAAUAGAGGAUGUGGUCACAGCCAAAGAGCUCAGUGUAUGCAACCUUUGCAAAUGGAAGAUCAAACAUCUCCUCCUGGCUGUGGUUUCAUCAUCUUCCACAUGAGAAGCAGAUCAACCUACUACAAUCUUUGUGUCAGCCCAACCCUCUCAGAAGAAUAUCAACAUUUAGAAGAGUGCCCCUACCCUAAGAAUUGAGUAUGGAGCAGGUCAAGGAGUACGGUCCUCUGGAUAAACUAAUCUGGUGGUGGAAUAUAGUCCAAGUUGAGAACGUAUACAAGAACUAUGGAAUAUUUCAGAAUGCUUAACAAGAAGACAAUAGGCUGAGGUGAUGUAAGUACCAUGUGGUUCUGACUGAAUCACUUGAUCUAGAAAACUAAACUUAAUUACAACCAAAAUAAUUGUGAUUCUCAAAGUUAGUACCCAUAAAAGGGCUCUGGAAUAGUCCUUUUAAAAAAGUAGAUUCUAGAAACUAUUAUACCCACCUCGAGUAACUCCCAGAUACAUUGUUCAUACGAAUUUCUUCUCUAUGAGGACUGGCUGAUGUGCUGGAAUUCUAACUUGUCUUGAUGAUCAUGUGAUGAACCUGUAACUAUGAGGAAAUGAGAAAAGUGGUCCAGAAAUAAAUAUUAUUUUCUGAGAUGUUGAGAUUUGGA